CGGACAACGCUGGCGGCGUGCUUAACACAUGCAAGUUGAACGGGGCAUAUUUGAAGGGUAACCGGAGGGUAUGUCUAGUGGCGAACGGGUGAGUAAUGCAUGAGAACGUAUCCUCAAGAGGGGGACAACAUUGGGAAACCGAUGCUAAUACCCCAUAAGCCGGGAGGUAAAAGGAGCAAUCCGCUUGAGGAGCGGUUCAUGUCCUAUCAGCUGGUUGGUGAGGUAACGGCUCACCAAGGCGAAGACGGGUAGCCGGCCUGAGAGGGUGAACGGCCACACUGGAACUGAGAGACGGUCCAGACUCCUACGGGAGGCAGCAGUGGGGAAUAUUGGGCAAUGGGCGCAAGCCUGAACCAGCCAUCCCGCGUGAGUGAAGAAGGCCUUCGGGUUGUAAAGCUCUUUCGGCCGGGAAAAAAUCGCAUCAGUUAAUACCUGGUGUGGAUGAUGGUACCGGAAUAAGAAGCACCGGCUAACUACGUG
rnacentral:rRNA from 1 species